rnacentral:lncRNA from 1 species
UAUGGAGAAAGGAAUCUUGACUUGCUUGUUUACCCUAACUUCUCCACACUCAUUAAGCCAAUGUAGUCUAAAAGGAUUAGGAUGUUUAGUGCAUGACAACCCUAACUUGUCAACUAGCAGGGUACUGGCAACAUUGGCAUAACUGCCGCCAUCUAUAAUCAAAUUUCAUACCUUCAUAUUCACAUAACAUGUAGUGUGGAAGAUAUUCUCCCUUAAAUUGUUAUCCGUUUUCCU